CCUACGGGAGGCAGCAGUGAGGAAUAUUGGUCAAUGGACGAGAGUCUGAACCAGCCAAGUAGCGUGAAGGAUGACUGCCCUAUGGGUUGUAAACUUCUUUUAUAUGGGAAUAAAAUGUUCCACGUGUGGGAUUUUGUAUGUACCAUAUGAAUAAGGAUCGGCUAACUCCGUGCCAGCAGCCGCGGUAAUACGGAGGAUCCGAGCGUUAUCCGGAUUUAUUGGGUUUAAAGGGAGCGUAGGUGGUUUGUUAAGUCAGUUGUGAAAGUUUGCGGCUCAACCGUAAAAUUGCAGUUGAAACUGGCAGUCUUGAGUACGGUAGAGGUGGGCAGAAUUCGUGGUGUAGCGGUGAAAUGCUUAGAUAUCACGAAGAACUCCGAUUGCGAAGGCAGUUCACUGGACUGCAACUGACACUGAGGCUCGAAAGUGUGGGUAUCAAACAGGAUUAGAUACCCUUGUAGUC
rnacentral:rRNA from 1 species